AAAGAUGAACUGCCUGGUGGGGCAUCCUUCAAAAAGUGUUCUAGCUGGUCCCCUCACCAUGACAGAUGAUGUCUGCUGAGGAAGUCCCUGUGGGUUCCAGUGCUCAUGGGGUAAGGGCUGUGGUCAAGUCCCUAGCAGCCCAUGAGCUGGUGCUGCCAACUUCACUGGUGAAGGAAAUGUCACUGUCUACCUGAGGUAAGCAAUCCAUCCAGAUCCUACGGGUGGGAUGGCACCAGGGGUUUCCCAUGGUGUGGUUCUUAGGGUUGGGUUGAUGAUGAGACCUCAUACUGUCUCGAAGAGAGAUGAUGACUUGAAAAUCAUGCUCAAUAGGAUUACGCUGAGGCUCAGCCUAGUGUCAGCGAAGCAAGGGGCUUUUCAUGAUUAAGUUCCUUCCAGGAGGAGAUCCUGGGGACUGGAGACUGCAGCCCCCCAGGUAAUGAUGUCAUCCUCAGGCAGCAAAGGCUGCUGGUGCAGGAUGUGCACAAGCUCUUCCUCACGGUGUGUGUACUCCCUGCUGUAUGAUUUGCAGGGCUGCUCUAGGGGAUCCUUCCUCAGCUCCUUUCUGCCCCUUGUAUCUUUUAGUGAGACGAGCUGCCAAGUGGGGCACCUUCUCGCCUGUGGUGCUAGAUGAUGUCGCCACAGGAGAACGCUUGAGAAUCAGUGUCAGGGUGCAGGGGCUGUGGUCAAGGCCCCAGUGGCCCAUGAGCUGGUGCGGCCUGCUCCGUCGGAGACAAAAAUGUCAAUGACUGCCCACUUGAAACAACAGAGUGAUGCUGUAAACUGUACCCCAGGUCUCAGAUGAUAUCAUCAAAGGAAGCUCUUGUAUAUUCCACUGCCAUGGUGGCAACAGCUGCGAUCGAGGCCCAAGCAUCCCAUGAGCUGGAGGUGCCAUCCCUGUUGGAGUAGGAAACAUCCGUGACUUUCAAUGUGAGUAGAGCAGCAUGGCAGGGCAUCCUGUCAACCCACUUCACAGAUGAAGUCACGAAAAGAAGCCCCUGUGUGGUCCAGUGCCUCAGGGACAAGUGCUGUAUCAAAGCCUCAGUGGACCGUGAGCUGCUGGUGCCAGCCCCCUGGACCGCCCCAGGGAGAUGAGCAGCCUGGCCUGGCACCUUUCAACAAGAGUUCUAGUGAGCCAAGCUGAUGGUGUGACCUCUAUCCCAGGUCUCAGUUAGCCUUGUGAACUUCCCCCCCCGGGGGUCGUUCCCUCUAGUCUCCUCUCUCCGCUUGCCUGCCGGUGUCUCGGGCUAUUGAGGUUCGGCUCACCUCGCGUUCCAGCGCUGGUGUGUUGAGUCUGCCGCUGAUGUCCCGAACUGUGAGCUCCCACGCUCUCCACGCAGGUCCGCUGUGAGUCACGCGUUCCGGAAGAGUUUCUUCUGCUGUUUCCUCCCCUACUCUUCCUUGAACCUGCAGUAUCUCCACUUUUAUCAAACCAUCUCUCCCCAGACUAUCAGUGUGCUCCCUUCCUAUUCCGCCAUCUUGCCGGCCUCUCCUAUGACCAGUUUUCAAAUGCCAAGGCUAUGUCAGUGCUUGCUUGUCCAUCUCAGGUACUGGCCUGGACCUGGGUCACUGAGGCAGGAUGGAGCAUUGGAGGAAGCCACAUCUCUCAGUGAGACCCAUCCCGAGUUUCCUCUUGGUCCAAUGUCUGACAGGCCCAGCCAUUCGCACGCGAGGUUGGGGAACUUGUCAAAACACCACGCCUAAAAGAUGGUCUCCUGGCAAUUUCAACCGGACUGAUGAUGUCACCAAAGGAAGCCCCUGUGGGUUCCACUGCCAUGGUGGCAAGGGCUGUCAUCAAGGCCCAAGCAGCUGAAGGUGUCAGGCCUAUUGGAGUAGGAAACAUCCAUGCUUCCAAUGUGAGACCUGCUGCUCAUGGGCACCUUUGCUUCUAGAGUCCCAGCUGACCUCUUCCCUCUGCUCCUGUGGGUUCCAGUGUACCUGGGACAAGGCCAAGGUCAAGGCCCAUGACCCAUGAGCUUCUGGUACCAGCCCCAUUGGCAAAGGAAAAGUCCCUGACUGCCUGAGUAGAAUUUGCUGCCCAGCAAUUCACCCUUGCAUCCUGGGUCCCGGGUGUGUAGAUGCCAAGGAUCAUGGAGCCUCUUCUCGGGAACUGGGUGUCAGGGCAGAUCACUCAAUGCAAACCUGAGUCGUGGAACAAAGACCACCAAUGCUAGGUCACAGUCCCCAGGCAUGAGAAGAUACAUGAGCAGUUUCUGCCAAAGCUCCUACCUCCUUGGGCUUUGUGCUCCCCAUGGGCCGAUGGCUUGAGCCACACUGUGCACACCCUCCUCAACUCCUUUCUCCCCACUGUUUCUAUCAGUGAGCCCUACUUUGCCCAGAGGACACCCCUGUGUCCUGGGUCCCAGGUGAGUGAAUUGUGGGGAUUCAUGUGGCAAGUGCAUGGGAGCAGAGGGUGUUGGUGGUUGAGCCAAGGGAGCCCCUGGAGUGGACCCACAGAGAUACGAGAAGCAGCCUCUGGCCAAGCUCGUGCGUGAACUGUGCUUCUUUGGGCACUGAGAUCCAGAACACUUUAUGUGAGCACUGGGCCUCGUGAGGUUGGAGGCAGUUCCUGAGGCAGGGGUCACGUGGAGCAGAGCAAGUACUCAGCCAGUGUGCACUGCAGGGCCUCUGGGUUGGCUUGCUGGUAUGAAUGGAAGUAUACAUACACUGGUGAUAGGGUUUCCAUAUGAAAGUAGAGCUUAGAUUCCAUAGGAUGCCUUGACCAUGGACCACUACAAGGUUGCUAGGGAGAUUUGAUGGGGCAGCUGGCUCUGCAGGUGCUGGGAAGGUUGGGAGCUGCACGUGGGUCACAAGGACACUGGAGUUUAGGUUGCAGGGACUCUCCAGUCAGUGCCCGAUCAGUGGGGUGCCAAACACUGACUUAAGUGUAACAGGUGAGGACACCUGUGGAUUGAUCCCAUGGCUUGCCUUGUCCAGGGGGACACUUUUACACACCACAUGGGUGGGCUUCCAAAUGAGUUGAGCCCAUCAAGAUGCCAGGGACCCUCAUGAACCUGGGCAUCUCUAAACCACAGGAGGGACCAAUUCCCCAUGGAAGGAGUGGGUCAUGGUCUAGCCUGAUGCCCAUACCCCUUGUUUGGGAUGUGUAUUUUUUGGUAGGGGGCAGUGACCGUGGGAGGAAGUAUCCCUGAGGAGCUACUUCCUGAGCUCCCGGGAUGCACUGUGUGCAUGCAGCCUUUUCCUGAGCUCCCAGGCCUAAUCUGAAUGCCGUGUUGGUUUGGCCAGGGUCCUUGGGGGCUUCCUUGGAGAUCAGGCCUGCUUGUGGGGACAUUGCUAAGAUACCACAGAAGACCACUCAAAGCAGUAAGGGGAGUUUUUCAAGGCAGCUGGCUUUGCAGGUGCCUGGCAGCCUGGGAGCUUUACAGGCAUUGAGGGGUCCACAGCUUAAGACACAGGGACACUGCAGCCAGUACCCAGACAGGUGAGUGCCAGCACCCAGCCAGGGCACCUGUUGGGUGAAACCUGACAUGCCCCAUCCCCGCCACUUGCCACAGGCAAGGUCUGAUGUUCACUUGCCACAUGGAUAGACUUAGACUGAAUUUAGCUCAUUAAGGAUGUCAGUGCCCAUCCUGGUCCUGAGCUCUCAUUCCUGCAUGAGGGGCACCAAGUCCCCAUGAAAGAGUGGGCCAUGGUCCAGGAGAAAACCUCUUCCCUGUUUUGGGAAUGUCUGGUGGACUGUGGUGGUCAGUGAACAUAGGAGGAAUUUGUCUCUGAGGUGCACAGCCCGAGCUCCAGGGAUGCAUUGUGUGUAUACGGCCUGCACCUGAGUACCUGGGGCUGAAAGGGGAGACCGUGUUGGAGGCCCACAUCUCCAAUGGGGAAUCCUUGGGACCACCUCAUGCUGACAGUCCUCUGAUGACAAGGACAGGCUAGCACUUGUAUCUCCAGCCUGGGUACCAGUCAGGACCUAGAUCUUGGGGGAAGAAGGAGCAAUAGGGUUAGCUGCUUCAGGCAUGGUGACCCUGCCAGAGUACCCCUAUCUGGUCAGUGACCACAGGCCCAGUGUUUUUCUUUCACAGUGGGCAGAGCUUUCCUGAACCAAGACACCUUCAGGGGUGGCCUCCUGGAAGCCUAACCUUGGCUGACAGAGCCAAAGGACACUCUGGAGCCAGUGUGCCCUUGCCUGCCCCUGCUCUCAGUUCACACCAGACUCACACCCUGUCCCAUGGGUGAUGGCAACAAGGAAGCUACUAUGGAGUCCAGCGCUCCAAGAUUAAGGGCUGUGGUAAGGCCUCAGCGGCCCAAGAGCUGGUGCUGCAAGUCUGGUUGGCAAAAGGAACUUCUGGGACUGCCGGAGUGGGACAAGCUGCCUGGUGAAGGCACCCUUUGACCUGGGCUUCUAGAUGAUGUCAGCGAGGAAGGCCCUGUGGGUUCCUGUGCCCCUGGAGAAAGAGCUGUGCUCAAGGUCUCAGCAGCCCAUGAGCUGCUUGUGCCAACCCCAUUGGCAGUCCCUGACUUGCCAAGGUAAGCCAAUCCAUCCAGGCUCUAGAGGUGAGACAAGGCAAUCCAUAUCCCAUGAUGUGGUUCCUCUGGUUGGGUCGAUGAUGAGACCUCAUACUGUCUUGAAGAGAGAUGAUGACUAAAAAAUCAUGCUCAACAGGAUUACGCUGAGUCCCAGCCUAGUGACAGUGGGUCAAGAGGACCUUGGGGUAAACAAGUGCCUUCCAGGGGAGGAACCCUGGGGACUGGUGAAUUUGAGACCCCUCAUGCCAUGAUGUGGUCCCCAGGCAGGAGAGGCUGCUCAUGGAGAAUGUACCCAAGCUCCAUCUUCCUUUGGUAUGGUGUAUACUCGCUGCUAUCCAAGGUGUGGGCUGCACUGGGGGCUCUGUUCUCAGGUCCUUUCAUCCCCUUCUGCCUUUCAGGGAAAAGUGUGGACUGGCCACGCACCCUUUCAUCAGGGGUACCUCGUGAGUGGAUGGACUGUGUCAUUCGGCCUGUGUGGGUCAGCAGGAGUUCUGGACAAGUCACCUUAUGCAAGUGUGAGGUGUGAACCCACAGAGAUUUAGGAAGGCAGACUCUGGCCAUGUUCCUGACUGAGCUGUGCCCAUCUUGGACUCUGAGGUCCUUACUUGAAACCCGGGCCUGGAGAGGGGGUAAAGCAAGGAAUAUCAGUGAUUUCUGUGGGAGGAUUCACAUGGGGUCAGUCCCCCCAUUUGCCACUGGUUGGCUACGGCCACCCUGGAUUGCCUUGCUGUAUAGCCAGAAUUGGGUGGACACUGUGGAUCAGGCCUCUGUGCAAGGCAUGAUUUUAGUUUAAGUAGAAGGCCUGGGUUCAAGUUACCAUGGCAGGGAGGAAGGUUUGGCAGGCUGCCACUUUGCUGUUGCCUGGCAAGUGGGAUUUUCACAUGGUUCCCAUGUCAGAGAGAACCUAAGACCCAGAGACACUUUGGGCAAUGCAUGUCCAGGGUUUGCCAACAUGUGGGGCAGGGCACUUUCAGGGUGAUGCCAGGCACACAACAUCCCACUACUUUUCUCAUCCAUGGACUGGUGUUCGCAGACCACAUAGGUGGACUUCAGACUGAGUUGAGCUCAGCAAGGAUGCCAUGGACCCUCCUGAUCUAGGGCUCCUACUCCUCCACAGGAGACAGCAAGAAGUGAUCCAGUCCGAUGCCUGUAAUACAUCUUUCAGUUGUGUAUGUGACACUUUUGGCAGCGACUAUUGGAGGAAGUUGUCUCCAUGGGGGAUGGCCUGGACUCAGAAUGCACUGUGUUCAUGCAGCCUGCACCUUAGCAUAAGGGCAUGUCUAGUGAUGCCAUGUUCGUAGUUCCAGGGCUCCGUGAGGGUGCUUCUUGAAUAUGUCUGUUUGGAAUUGUCCUCUCAUACUUAGGUUUAGUCAUUGCCUGCCUGUACAAUCCGGUUCCUUAUCAGGACCUGGGUAUCAGAGGCAAGAAGGAGCUGGAAGUAGGCGCUUCCAGCAGAACGAUUCUAUCCAAGUGGAUUUCUCUGUCCCAGUGACCACAAUGCCCAGUAGUUUUGCAGGCCAGGUGGGUGGAACUUGAGUGACCCACCACAGCUACAGGAUGUGCCUCCUGUAGCCAGUGUUCUGGAGACAAGAUUGUUCCUGAGCUUGGUUGGCCUGCUCAGAUCCCAGGUAUGACUUUCAGGCAGGGUGCCAGAAAAAGGGGUAGCAGUAGCCCCUCUGGACACGUGAGGUGGACUAAGUGGGUCUAUCUGGUCCAGUGACCACCAGGCCCAACUGUUUGUGGGUAAGGUGAGAGAAGUUUUCCCAAUACUCCAUACCAACGUGGGUGGCCUCCUGGAUAGUCAACCAUAUGCCCAUGGGGUUAAAGCAUUCUCUGGAACCAGUGUACUCAGAGCUUAUCCCAGCUCUCUUAUUCUCACCAGACCCCCUUCCUGUCCCACAGAUUAUGUCUACAAAGGUUCCAGUGCCACAGAUGCAAGGGCUGUGGUCCAGAUCUCAGCAGCCCAUGAGACCCUGCUUUCCCAUUGGCAAAGGAAACAUUUAUGACUCUCCAAGAUAGCCAAUACAUCAGGGCCCUUGAGUGGAAUGAGGCUGGUGGGAUCAUAUAUUGUGGUUCCUGGGGUUAGGUUGAUGAUGAGACCUCAUACUGUCUCGAAUAGAGAUGAUGACUUAAAAAUCAGGCUCAAUAGGAUUAUGAUGAGACCCAGCCUAGUGACAGUGCUGCAAGAGGACCUUGGGGUAAGCAGGUCCCUCGCAAGGGAGGAGACCCUGGAGACAAGAGAUGUUUUGGAUCCCCAGGCCAGGUUGAGGUACAACAGAAGGAGCAGCUGCUCAUGAUGGAUGCAUCCCAAGCUCCUUCCUCCUUGGUUUGGUGUCUGCUCUCUGCUGGCUGAGUUGUGAGGACCUGCUGGGUGUUCCACUUUCAGCUCCAUUCUAUUCCUUGUGUCUUUUAGUGAGAUGAGCAACCAGGCGGGGCACCCUUGCUCCUAGGUUCUGGGUGAGUGGAUAGAAAAUGUCAUUGAGGGGGUGUGCAAAAUGGUAUCUGGUAGGGUCACUGGAUGAGAGUCUGAGUGGUGGACUCCUGGAGACUCUAGAAGGCAGCCUCAGGCAGGGCUCCUAAGUAAGCUGUGCCUCUUUAGGCUCUGAAGUGAAAAACGAGUUGCCUGGACCCCUGGCCUGGUGUAGGGCAAAGUGAGGAAUGGAAAAGGUUCCUGAGGGAGGGUUCACAUAGGGCCAAUGCCUUUAGUUGCCCCUAAGUGGGCUACAGUAGCUCUGCAUUGCCUUGGUCAUGUGACUGGAAGUAGACGCGCACUGGGUACAGGCCUCUGAGCACAGCAGUGACCACUGGGAGCCUGGGCUGAGGGUCACACCAGGUCAGUGAGAGACAAUUGAUGGGACAACCAGCUCUGCAGGUGCCUGGAAGCCCGAGAAUCUCAUGUGGGUCAUGGAGCCACUGGAGCCUAGGCUGCAGGAAUGCUCUGGCCAGUGCCCAGAAGGAGGAUGCCAACCCUCAAGUUGAGGCACUUGUAGAGUGAUGCCAGUCAUGCCCCAUUUCCCCUGCAUGCUUCAGCCAGGGCUUUGUGUUUUCAGGCCACAUGGGUGGGACUUGGCCUGAGUUGAGCCCAGAAAGGGUGCCAAGGUUCCUUCUGGGCCUCGGCUUGCUCUCCUCCAUGGGAGGUUCCAAGGUCCCACUGGAGAACUGGGCCAUUGUCCAGCUCAAUGACUAUACUACAUCUUUGGGAUGUGUAUGUGACUGCAGUGGGCAGUGACCAUAGGAGGAAGAUGUCUUUGGGAGGCACAACCUAAGCUUCCAGGAUCCAGUGUGUGCAUACAGCCUGCCCCUUGGUUCCCUGGCCUGGAAUAGGAGGCUGUGUGGCCUAGGCUAUGGCCCCAGACAACCUUCUUGGGUGUGUAUCAUGUGACCAGUCUUCAGAUAACAAGGUUGUGCCAGCAUUUUCUUGUUCAGCCUAGGUCCAGUCCAGUUCCUGGAUCACGGGAGAAGGGUAGAAUGGUGGGGAAGUCAUUUCUGGCAGUGGGACCUGGCCUGAGUGGCCCCCUUGGCCUGGUUACCAAUGGGCCCAGGCAUUCGCAGGCAAGGUGGACGGAGCUUGCAGUUCCACCACACUGACAGGGUGGUCUCCUGGGAAGCCUCAAAUAGGGUGACAGGGCCAAAGCAUGCCUGGAACCAAUGAACCCUACUUGCUCCUGCUGUCUAUUCACACCCAUCCCUGUACCUGUCCCACAUAGGAUGUCACCAAGGGAAGCCCCCGUGGCUUCCACUGCCCCAGGAGCAAGGGCUGUGGUCAAGGCUCCAGCUGCACAAAGAGCUAGUGGUGGAAGUCCUGUUGAAGAAGGCAAUGCCUGUGACUCCCUGAGUGAGCCUGGCUGCCUGGUGGAGCAUCUUUGUGCCCUGGGUCCCAGAUGAUGUCUGUGGAUUCCUGUUUCCCAGGGAUAAGGGCUGUGUUCAAGGCCCCAGUGGCCUAUGAAUGGAUUCUGCCAGCACCGUUGGUGUAGGAAACGUCCUUGACUCCCUGAGUGAGCCUUGCUGCCUAGCGGGGAACCAUUGCACCCCAGUUCCCAGAUGAUGUCAGCAGAAGAAGUUCCUGUGGUUUCCUGUGCCCCAGGGUAAGAGCUGCUGUCAAGGACCCAGCAGCCCUUAAGCUGCUAGUGCAAGCCCCAUAGAUGUAGGAAACAUCCCUGAGUGCCCAAGAUGAUGUCACCAAAGGAAGAUCAGUGGAAUCUGGUGCCCCUGGGUCUAGUGCUAUGGUCAAGGUCUCAGCAUCCCAUGAGCUACUGGUUCCAGUCCUGUUGGCAAAGGAAACAUCCAUAACUCUCCAAGUGAGAAGAUUUACCUGGAAGAAAACCCUUGGACCUGGAGUUCUAGAUGAUGUCAGCAGGGGAAUCUCCCGUGGGGUCCAAUGCCAUGGCAGCAAGGGCUGUGGUCAAGGUCCCAGAGUCCCAUGAGCCGAUGUUGCAAUCAUGUUUGCAAAAGAAUCAUCUAGGACUUCUUGAGUGUGGUGUGCUACCUGGUGGUUCAUCCUUGUGUCCCAGAACCCAGAUAAUGUCACCAUAGGAAGGCUCCAUGGGUUCUACUGCCUCUGGGGCAGGGUUGUGGUCAAGGCCCCAGCAGCCCAUGAACUGAUUUGCCAGCCCUAUGAGAGAAUGAAAUGUCCACAAUGAGUGAGCCCUGCUGCCAGAGGGACACCUAUGCCUCCUAGGUCCCAGAUGAAGUCUCCAAAGGAAGCCCCCAUGGAUUACAGUACCCCAGAGGCAAGGGCUGUGGUCAAGAUCUCAGUGGCUCAUGAGCUGCUGCUUCUAGCCCCUUUGGCAAAACAAAUCUCUGUGACACUCUAAGGUAAGCCAAUCCAUCUGGGCCCUUGGGUAAAAUGAUUCCAGUGGCAAUGUAUGUUGUAGUUACUGGGGUUGGGUCAAUGAUGAGACCUCAUACUGUCUCGAAGAGAGAUGAUGACUUAAAAAUCAUGCUCAAUAGGAUUACGCUGAGGCCCAGCCUAAUGACAAUGGUAAGAGGUCCUUGGGGUAACCAAGUGCUUUCCAUGGGAGGAGACCCUGGGGACUGGAGACCUUGAGGCUCCCAAGCCAGGAAGCAGUCCCCAGGUAGGAGAGGCUGGGAAGACCUCUCUCUCUGCAUCUCCUUCUCUCUCUGUGUAAGUCUGACUUUCACAGUCAGACUUACAAGCUCCAUCUUCCUUGGGUGUGGUGUGUGCUAUCUGCUCUCUGAGUUUCAGGGCUGUACUGAGGCUCUUUCCUCAGCUCCUUUUAUCCCGUGGUGUCUUUCAGUGAGCAGAUUUGCCCAGCAGGGCAUUUUUGGACCUGAAGUUCUAGGUGAGUGGAUGGAGGGUGUCACUGGGCCUAUGUGGAUCAGUAGGGAUUCUGGAUGGAUCAGCUGAUACAAGCUGGAUGUGUGGACCCAGAGAGAAUUAGCAAGGCAGCGUUGGCAAUGCUCCUGUGAGCUGUGCCCCUUUGGCGCUGAGUUCCUAACCGUCUUACCUAAAACCCUGGUCUGGAGAGAAGGGUAGAGCAAGGAAUGUCAACAAUCCUGGGGGAGAGUUCACAUUGGACCAGUCCCUGUGUGUGUCCUAGAUCAGCUUCAUCAGUCCUAUACUGCUUCGUUGGUAUGGCCUGAAGUGGAUGGAUACUGGGAUCAGGCCUCUGUCAGUUGCAGAUUUUAGAUUCAGUAGAAGGACCAGGCUGAAGAUACCAUGACAGAGGGAAGGUUUGGCUUGGCAACCUGAUAUGCCAUUGCCUGGUAGUCUGGGAUUUUCGUGAGUGUUGUAGUGCCCUUGAACUCUAGGACCUAGGGAUACUCCGGGUAAUGCUUGAUCAGGGUGAGCCAAGAUCUAGGUCAAGGUACUUUCAGGGUUAUGUCAUGCACGCAACAUCCCACCACUUGUCUCAUCCAUGGGCUGACAUUCGCAUACCACACGGAUGGGCUUCAGACUGAGUUGAGUCCAGCAAGGAUACCAUUGCCCCUCCUGAGCCAGGGCUCCCACUUCUCCACAGGAGACACCAAGGAGUGAAUCAUGGUCCAGUCAGAUGCCCAUACCCCAUCUUGGGUAGUGUAUGAGAUGGAAUGAUAGGAGGAAAAUGUGUCCUGGGGGUACUCCCUAAACCUCCAGGAUCCACUGUGUUCACCCAUCCUGCACCUGAGCCCCUGGGCAUGACUGGCUAUGCAGUGUUGAUAGUCCCAGAGCCUCAUGGGGGCCUCCAUAAGUAUGUCUCUUUGGAAUGGAAUGCUGAGGUUUUGGCCAAGUCAUUUCUUGCCAUCCAGUCUGGUUCCAGACAAGGACCUGAGUCUUGGGGGGCAGGAAGGCGAGAUAAGAGUAGGUGCUUCCAGAGGGACAGUCCUACCUAAAUGGCCCUUUCUUUAUUAGAGACCACAAUGCCCAGCAUUUGUAGGCCACAUGGGUAGAACCUGCCAGAUUACUACACCUACAGAGGUAGGCUCCUAGAUAGCCUCAUCUGAGCAAAUGGGGCCAAAGCCAGAAUAUUCUAGCCUGGAACCAGUGUAUCCUGCUGUCUAUUCACACUGGUUCCCCUCCCACUCCCACAGAUGAUGUCAUCAAAAGAAGCUCGAUGGGGCCCAGUGCCCAGGAACAAGGGCUGUAGUCAAGGCCUCAGAGGCCAAUGAGCUGGUUCUGAAAAACGAAGUUCUAGGAUUGCCUGAGGUCCCAGAGAGUACUUUGGAGUAGGAGACUGGAAGAAGCAAUGGGGGUAGCUCAUCUGGACAAUGCAAUGUGGCCUGAGAGGGUCUCUUUGGCUCAGUGACCAACAGGCCCAACUGUUUGCAGUGAGCAGAUUUGCCCUACAAAGGACCCUUGGACCUGGCGUUCUAGUGAGACAAGCUGUAUGGUGGGACACCCUUGGACCUGGGGUUAUAGAUGAUAUCACCAAAGAAAGCCCCAGUGGCUUCCACUGCCCCUGGAGCAGGGCUGUGUUCAAGGGUGCAGCAGGCAAUGAGCAAGUGGUGUAAAUCCCUGCUAGAGAAUGAAAUGACAGUGACUGUCCGAGGUAAGCCAAUCCAUCCAGGCCCUGGAUGUGGGAUGGUGCCAGGGACUUCCUGUGGUCUGGCCCCUGGAUCUGGGUCAAUGAUGAGACCUAACAUGUCUUGAAGAGAGAUGAUGACUUAAAAAUCAUGCUCAAUAGGAUUACGCUGAGGCCCAGCCUGGGAUCAUAGUCAAGAGAACCCCGGGUGCACACGAGCCUUCCAGGAGAGGAGAAUGUGGGGACUGGAGACCUGGAGGCUCCCAGGCCAUGAUACAGUCCUCAGGCAGGUUCAGUUGGUCCUGCAGGCUCCACUCAAGCUUCUUCCUCCUUGGGCAUGGUAUGUGCUCCCACUGACUGACUGAGGAGCACUGUGGGCAGCUCCUUCUUUGGCUCCUUUUAUCUCUUGUCUCUUUCAGUGUGAUAUAUUACCCAGGGCUUCCCCGCUUUGUCCCAGAGCCCAGAUGAGUGGAUGGUGAGUAUCAUGGGGCAUCUGUGGAGGAGCUGAGUGAAGUGUGGGUCACCUGACAGAAGUCUUAUGGGUGGACCCCGUGGAGACACAGGAAGGCAGUAUUGAGCUGUACUCCAGAGCAAGCUGUGACCCUAUGGGCUCUGAGGCCCAGCACACCUUGCCUAAAUCCCUGGCCUCGUAAAGGGGCCAACUGAGAAAUGGGAAAGGAUCAUGGACUGCGUUCAUGCGGGGCAAGUGCCAACAUUUUUUCCAGGUGGGCUGAGAGACUCUGGGUUGCCUUGAAGAUUUGGCCAGAGUGGAUGGAUACUGGGAUCAGGCCUACUUGAGGAGACAAGGCUAAGAUACCAUAGGAAAUCUGGGCAAAAGACCACAUUAUGCGAUGAGGGAGUUUUGGCAGGGCAGCCCGCUCUGCAGUUGCUUGGCAGCCUGAAAGCUUCACUUGGGUUGAGGGGUCACUGCAGCCUAGGACAUAGAGAUGCUGCAGCCAGUGCCCAGGCAGGUAGGUGCCAACACCCAGGCCAAAGCACCCAUACUGUGGCGCCCAGCAUGCCCCAUCCCUGCUUCUUGCCUCUGCCAAGAGUUGAUGUUCCUUUGACACAUGGUUAGGCUUUGGACUGAGUUGAGCCCAUGAAGGAUGUCAGGGCCUCUCCUGGUCCAAGGCUCCCAUGCCACACAGGAGGCACCAAGGCCCCACAGAAGAGUGGGCCAUGGUCCAGGCCAAAGCCCUUUCUCCAUCUAUGGCAUGUGAGUGGGACUGCAGUGGGCAUUGCAUGGAAGAGGAAUUUGUCUUCAGGGUGUACAAACUUAGCUCCCAGGAUGCAGUUUGUACACACAGCCUGCACCUCAGUGCCUGGCCAUGGAGAGAGAUGCCAUGUUGAUAGGCCCAGGUCCCAACUGGGGAAUUCUUAGGUGUAUCUCAUGCCACUGAUCCUCUGAUGCCAAGGCUGGGCCAGCACUUGUUUUUACAGCCCAGGUACUAAUCAGGACCUCUGUCUUGAGAGAGGAAGGAUCAGUGGUGUUAGCUGCUUCAAGCAUGUGACCCAACCAGAGUGGCCCUAGGUGGUCAGUGACCAACAGGUCCAGCAGUUUUCCAGCAAGGGUGGGCAGAGUUUGCCCAAACCAAGAUGCCCACAGGUUUGACCUCCUGGAAGCCUUACCUGGGCCAACUCAGCCAAAGCACAUUUUGGAAAAAGUUCACUCUUGCCGGCCCUGCUGUAUAUUCACACCCAAUACCCACUCUGUCCCACAGAUGAUGUCAUCAGGGAAGCACCCACUGGGGCCAGUACUCUGAGAACAAGGGUUGUGGUCAAGGCCCCAGCAGCUCAGGUGCUGGUGCUGUGAGUCCAAUUGGUGAAGGAAAUUUCUGGGACUGGCCAAGGUAAGCCAGUUCAUUCGGGCCCUGGACAUAGUAUGGCACCAGGUACUUCCCAUGCUGUGGUUCCUGGGGUUGGGUCGAUGAUGAGACCUCACACUGUCUCGAAGAGAGAUGAUGACUUAAAAAUCAUGCUCAAUAGGAUUACGCUGAGGCCCAGCCUAGUGACAGUGGUGCAAGAGGAACUUGGCAUAACCAGAUGCCUUUCAAGGGCAGAGACCCUGGGUCUGGAGGUAUUUUGGUCCCCCCACGCCAGGUCAAGGUCCACAUAAAGUGCAGCUGCUCGUCCUGCAUGCACCCCAAGCUCCUUCCUCCUUGGACAUGCUGUGUGCUCCCUGCUGUCCUGGUUACAGGGCCGCAUUCAGGGCUCCUUCCUCAGCUCCUUUCCUCCUCUGUGUCUUCCAGUGGGAUGAGCUGCCUGGUGGGGCAUUCUUUGAUCUUGUGUCCAAGAUGAUGUCACCAAAGGAAGUUCAGUGGAGUCCAGUCUCAGGGGGCAAUGGCUCUGGUAAGGGCCCCAGAAGCCAAUGAGCUGCGUCUGCCAGCCGCUUUGGAAAAAAAGUUCCAGGGCUGCCUGAGAUAUUGGAAAAGUGAAGCCCCUGUGGAGUCCAGUAGCCUGUGGGCAAGGGCUGCCGUUGAGGCCCUAAUACCCCAUGAGCUGGUACUGCAAGUCUCAUUGGUGAAGGAAAUGUCCCUGAUGCCCAAGUGAUCCUUGCUGCCUGCCAGAGUACCCUUGCUCCCCAGUUCCCAGAUAUCAGCAGAGAAAGCCCCUAUGGGUUCCAGUGACCCAGAGGGAAGGGCUGUGGAAAAGUCCCUAGUGGCCCAAAAGCUGAUGGUGCCAGCUCCACUGGUAUAGGAAACAUACCUGACUGCCCAAGUGUGGUGUGCUGCCUGGUGGUUCAUCCUUGUGUCCCAGAACCCAGAUGAUGUAACUAAAGAAAACCCCCAGGGUUUCCACUUCCCCUGUGCAGAGCUGUGAGGCCAUGAGGUGGUGGUACCAGCCUUGUUGGAGAAGGCAAUGUCCGUGACUGCCCAAGUUCGAUGAGCUGCCCAGCAGAACACCUUUGAAACUGGGGUUCCAGAUAAUGUCAUCAAAGGAAGCUCCAAUGGGAUCCCCUGCCCCAGGGGCAAGGGCUGUUGUCAAGACCUGGAAGCCCAUGAGCUGGUGGUGCCAGCCCCUUUGGUGAAGGAAAUGACCGCAACAGUUGUGUGUGACAAGUUACCCAGCGCAUCUCCCUUGAGCCCUGGGUCCCAGAUUAUAUCAAGUCUCCAGUGGCCCAUGAGCUGGUGGUGCCAGCCUCAUUGACAAAAUAAAUGUAUGGAACUGCCUAUGGUGAUGUCAGCAGAGGAAGCCCUUGUGGUUUCCACUUCCCCAGGGGCGAGGGCUGUGGUCAAAGCUCCAGCGGCCUAUGAGCUGGUGCUGCCAGCUCCACUGGCAGAAGGAAACAUCUGAGACUGCCUGAGUGAGACAUGCCCCCUGGUGUGGCACCCUCAGACUCAUAGUCCCAGAUAAAGACUAAUGGAGAAGAGUACCCUUUGUGAUGUUGCUACUUAUACAACUACUAUAACUCAGAUAUACUUCAGUGAAUCUAACUGGUCUCCCAUCCCUUUGAAUCGUGCUUUAAGGAUGUAAUUCUGGUUAAAGGCUAGAAUCAGUUAUUGUACUUCAGAGAUCACAGAAGGGCAGGCACCUGGUCCUUCACUUUAGAGAAGAAGGGGAUCAAGCAAAUCACCUCUGUGACACACCUGGUCUCUACCAGCCUUGUGGGGUGCAUUAGCAGGGAGCUGAAUUGGAAAUGGAGCAGCCAAGACUUGAACCAGUACCUGUAUGGGAUGCUGGCAUUGCAGGUGGCACCACAACUCCAGCUCCUAUCACAAGUUUUCUGAUAAGGUGGGAAAGACCAGCAGGAUGCCUUAGAGACAAACUACUAAAAGCAUACAUAAAGAAAUGUAACACAGAUUCUAGACAAUCCCAUCUGACUUGUGUGUUGUUUUUUUUGUUUGUUUGUUUUUUGACAGGCAGAGUGGACAGUGAGAGAGAGACAGAGAGAAAGGUCUUCUUUUUGCCGUUGGUUCACCCUCCAAUGGCCGGCGCACCGCGCUGAUCUGAUGGCAGGAGCCAGGUGCUUAUCCUAGUGCAGGGCCCAAGCACUUGGGCCAUCCUCCACUGCACUCCCUGGCCACAGCAGAGAGCUGGCCUGCAAGAAGGGCAACCGGGACAGAAUCCGGUGCCCCGACCGGGACUAGAACCCGGUGUGCCGGCGCUGCAAGGCGGAGGAUUAGCCUAGUGAGCCGCGGCGCCGGCCCCAUCUGACUUGUAAAUAUGUAAAAUCUAGCCCCUCUCUGUACCCCUGUGCAGAAAUCUUUGCUGUAGUUUUGCCCAUACUGCUGUUCUGCCCCAACAUGGAAACUAGCAUGUAAGGUGCCCCAAUAAACCCUUUUAUUCUUGUAGAGUUUCUUUCUUCAUUCUUCAGACGCAGGAUUUCUUCUCAGUUUGGGAGACAUUACAUGAUCCACCAACAUUCAGACACAAACCUAGUACUGUCGCUGAAUUACUGGUUAUCUGUAUUCUGAUUUCAAUACUUUGGCUUAUUAAGAUACUAAUACUUCUGUGACUUUUGCAACCCUUACUCCAAAGUCAUCUACCAUGUAGUGUUGAAACCCUACUCUUUGAGACUGGAUUAAGAUGGUGAAGUAGGGAGGGAGCUUACUGCUCUAGUCUAGGAGAAGAUAGUUUAAAAAGGAAAAAAAAAAAAAAAAAAAAAGGAGAGAAUGCAGUCUCUGGGAAGUUCGGGAGAAAACAGCAGAGGAAACUCCACACAAAUUAGAGGGACACAGUGGACCUACGUGGAGGACGAGGACGUGCACAACUCAGGACCACAGCAGCCAAGAGCAUCCUCACCAACUCUAAAAUAGUGAGGUAAGACCAGACCCUGGCAGCCCAAGUCACUGGCAAUAAAGCUGCAGGAAGAGCCUGGAGGGAAUCUGGCUUGGAGCUCUGUGGAGGAUAGUGUACCUGGCAAACUAGAGGAGGGGAAAAAAAAAAAAAAAAAAAGGCGGGAGGAGAGGGGACGGGGAGAUGUGCACGGUUCUCUCUCCCCAUACACCCUUCAACGACAUCCCUGUAACAAGCUAAUAAACAGCAGGUGCCAUUUUGGACAUACAUUAACAGCUGCACCAGCUUCUGUCCUUGCCUGGCCAGGCGGAGACUCCAGGGUUUGGUGGGGAGAACUGAUAGGGGGCUGGGUGCUUGUGACUGUAGGAGGCUUUUUUUGCUGGGACUGUGAAAACACUGAGGAUGUGUAGGAGGGUUCUGGGUGCGGCUGGAACUUUGGGCAGUCACUGUGGGAGCCUCCACAUGUUCAGGGCUCCCCAGUUCCCUGGUGAGGGACUCUGCUGGGGAAUCUGUGCUUAGACCAAGGACUAUACAGAUCCUUUGUGUGAUCCUUGUGGCAGCGUGGACAAAUAUUAUAGCCCAAGGAACUGGUCUUCUUUGAGGAGAGGGGGUAAGCUGAGUCUACGCCAACAGAGCAGAACAAACCACUCUUCUAAUUAAAAAAAGAGAGAGACUGACUGACUUAACCACACUCAACCUAGAUGUCACCUUGGAAACUCCCUUCACCCUAGAGUUCCAACAAAGCUCCCUGGCCACACCCACCAUAGGCCUCUAGGUAUUCACUGAAAAAAUAGAAACUACACUAAUCCACAGAGGUAUAAUCCAAAGAUAAAAGCCACAGCAGAGAAAAUUCAAAGAAAUCAAAAAGUAUCUGCACAAAUGCCGCACAAUGAACACACUGAUUCAAGAAACACUAAGGAACACAACAUGAUGCCCGCAAAAGAAUAAAACACUUCAAUACCAGAUUGUGAAGAUGAAAAGACUGAAGAAAUACCAGAAAUAGAAUUCAAAAAAUUGAUCACAGGAUUACUUAGAAGUAAUCAGAAGAAAAUGCACGAACUAGUAAAAUCCUUACAUGACAAAAAAAUUUCUCCCAUGAAAUUGAGUUCUUAAAUCAAAAUGAAAUCUUGGAAAUGAAGAAUUCAAUAGAACAAAUAAACACAGUGGAAAGCCUUAACAACAGAAUCAGAAGAAUAUCCAAAUUAGAAGACAAAUCGCAGGAAAUUAUUCACUCAGAACAAAAACAAGAAGAAAUUAGAAAACUAAAAAACACUGUUGGGAAUCCACAGGAUAUCAUCAAAUGACCAAACACACGGGUUCUAGGAAUUCCUGAAGGCAUAGAAAGAAACAAAUGAUAGAAGGACUUUUAAGUGAAAUAAUAACAGAAAACUUACCUAAUUUGUAGAAAUAAAGGGAUAUCCAAGUACAGGAAGCACACAGAACCCCUAAUAGACAAGACCAGAAAAGAUCUUCACCAUGACACAUUGUAUUCAAACUUUCCACAGUAAAACAAAGAUUCUAAAAUGUGCAUCAGAGAAUUGCCAGAUUACUAUCAGAACAUCUCCAAUUAGACUCACAGCAACAAUGAGAGCACUAUGUAAUGAUUAAGGGAUCAAUUCAAGGAGAAGAUGUAACUAUUCUAAAUGUAUAUUCACUUAAUUGAAGGGCAUCUGGCUAUUUAAAAGAAAUGUUAAUGGGGCUAAAGGGAGACAUAGACUCAAAUACAAUAGUAAUAGAGGACUUCAAUACCCCACUUUCAGAAGUGCACAGAUCUACCAGACAGAAAAUCAGCAAGGAAACAACAGAAUUAAUCAGCACUAUUGACCAAACAAACCUAACAGAUAUCUACAAAACUUACCAUGCUACAGCUGUGGAAUAUAUAUUCUCCUCAGCAGUGCACAGAACCUUCUCUAGGAUUAACCACAUGUUGGAUCAAAAAGCAAGUGUCAGCAAAUUCAAAAAACUCAAAAUAUAUCAUGCAUCUUCUCAGACCAUGAUGGAAUGAAGCUAGAAAUCAGCAACUCAGGAAUCUCUAGAACAUAUGCAAACACAUGGAGACUAAACAACAUGCUCCUGAAUGAACACUGGGUCACUGAAGAAAUCAAAAGAGAAAUCAAUCGGGGCUGUCGCUGUGGCAGGAAAAUCCGCCACCUGCAGUGCCAACAUCCCAUAUGGGCGCUGGUUCAAGUCCCAGGUGUUCUACUUCUGAUCCAGCUCUCUGCUAUGGCCUGUGAAAGCAGUAUAAGAUGGCCCAAGUCCCUGGGUCCCUGUACCCACAUGGACAACUCGGAAGAAACUCCUGGCUCCUGGAUUUGGAUGGGCAUAGCUCCAGUCGUUGCGGCCAAUUGGGGAGUGAACCAGCGGACAGAUGACCUCUCUUUUUUUUUCUUUCUCUCUCUUUGCUUCUCCUCCUCUCUGUGUGUAAUAAUUUCAAAUAAAUAAAUCUUUAAAAAAAAAGAAAUCAAAAAAUUGCUGGAAACAAAUGAAGAUGACAAUUCAACAUAUCAACACUUGUGGGGUUGGGGGCAGCAUUGUGGCACAGUGGGCAGGGCUGCCACCUGAAGUGCCAGCAUCCCAUAUGGGCGCCGGUUCGAGUCCUGGCUACUCCACUUCUGAUCUGGCUCUGUGCUACAGCUUAGGAAAGCAAUGGAGUUGGCUCAAGUCCUUGGGCCAUUGACUCGUGGGAGACCCAGAAGAGGCUCUUGGCUUUAGAACGGCGCAGCUCCAUCCAUUGUGGCCAGUUGGGAAGUGAACCAGCGGAUGCAGGACCCCCCCCCCCUCUCUUUCAAAUAAAUAAAUCUUAUUAAAAAAAAAAAAAUCCAAUGAAUACUUUAAAAAAAAAAAAACCUAUGGGAUACAGUAAAAAUAGUGUUAAGAGGAAAGUUUAUAGCAAUUGGUGCCUACAUCAAGAAACUGGAACGGGACCAAAUAAAUGAACUAUCAAUGAAUCUCAAGUAUCUAGAAAAACAUCAGCAAACCCAACCAAAAACUAGGAGAAAAGAAAUAAUUAAAAUUAGAGAAGAAAUCAAUGAAGCUGAAAUAACAAUUUGACGUUCUUGUUUAUGGCGUCAGUAAUCUCCCUAGGCUCUAGUCAUGAGUUGCCAAGGCUAUGGAAGCCUUUUGAGUUUGCCAGCUUCGAUGUUAUUCAGACAGGGUCAUAGUCUGGUUUUUUGAAAAAAUACACACAACUGACACACAAUUGCCCAACUAAUCAAAAAAAGGAAAGACCCAAAUUAAUAAAAUUAGAAAUGAAAAAGGAAAUGUAACAACAGACAACACAGAAAUUAAAAGAAUCAUCAGAAAUUACUACAAAAACUGUAUUCCAACAAACUGGGAAACCUGUAAGAAAUGAACAGAUUCCUGAACACAUACAACCUACCUAAAUUAAGCCAUGAAAACACAGAAAACCUAAACAGAACCAUAACAAAGACAGAAACAUCUGCCCAACAAAGAAAAGCACAGCACCAGAUGGAUUCAUCGCUGAAUUCUACCAGACAUUUAAUGAAUAACAAAUUCCAAUUCUUCUCAAGCUAUUCAAAAAAACUGAAAGGGAGGGAAUCCUCCCAAAUUCUUUCUAUGAAGCCAGCAUCACCUUAAUUCCUAAACCUGAAAAAGAUGCAACAAAGAAAAAGAAUUACAGACCAAUUUCCCUGACAAAUAUAGAUGCAAAACUCAACAAAAUUCUAGCCAAUCGAAUCCAACAGAACUUCAGAAAGAUCAUCCACCCAGAACAAGUGUGAUUUAUCCCUGCUAUGUAGAUAAUGUUCAAUAUUCUCAAAUCAAUGUGCUACACCACAUUAACAAACUAUUGAACAAAAACUAUAUGCUUUUCUCAAUAGAUGCUGAGAAAGCAUAAUAAAAUACAACAUGAAAACUCUAAGCAAAUUGGGUAUAGAAGGAACACUCCUCAACACAAUCAAUGCAAUUUAUAACAAAUCCACGGUCAGAAUCAUACUGAAUGGGGAAAAGUUGGAAGCAUUCCCGCUGACAUCUAGAACCAAACAAGGAUGCCCUCACUCACCACAACUAUUUUUUUUUUUUUAAUUAUUUGACAGGUAGAAUUAUAGACUGAGAGAGACAGAGAAAAAGGUCAUCCUUCCAUUGGUUCACUCUCCAAAUGGCCGCCACAGCCAGCACUGCACCAAUUCGAAGCCAGGAGCCAGCUGCUUCAUCCUGGUCUCCUAUGCGGGUGCAGGUGCCCAAGGACCUGAGCCGUCCUCCACUGCCCUCCCGGGCCACAGCAGAGAGCUGGACUGGAAGAGGAGAAACUGGGACUAAAACCCGGUGCCCAUAUGGGAUGCCAGUGCCACAAGCAGAGGAUUAACCAAGUGAGCAAUGGCGCCGGCCCUUCACCAUCGCUAUUCAGUAGUCCUGGAAAUUUUAGCCAGAGCUAUUAGGUAAAAAAAAAAAAAAAAAAAAAAAUCAAAGGUAAACAAAUUGGAAAGGAGGAAAUCAAACUACCUUAUUUCCAGAUGACAUAAUUCUAUAUAUAGGGGAUCCAAAAGACUCCACCAAGAGACUAUUGGAACUCAUAGAAGAGUUUCGUAAAGUAGCCAGAUAUAAAAAUCAACACACAAAAUUCAACACAGUCUUUGUAUACACAGGCAAUGCCACAGCAGAGUAACAGCUUCUAAGAUCAAUACCAUUCACAAUAGCUACCCAAAAAACCAAAUACCAUGGAAUAAAUUUAAACAAGGAUGUCAAGAGCUCUAAGAUGAGAAUUAAAAUACAUUAAAGAAGAAACAGAACAUACCUUCUAGUAUUUUUUUUUUGUUCUAGUACUAUUGGUUGAACUCUGUAAUUAACACACAAUUAUUCUUAGGUGUUUAAAUUUAACUGAAAAGUGAUCCCUGUUAAAUAUAAGAGUGGGAAUAAGAGAGGGAAGAGAUGUACAGUUUGGGACAUGCUCAAUCGGACUUGCCCCAAAUGGUGGAGUUAGAAAUGUGCCAGAGGAUUCCAAUAAAAUCCCAUCAAGGUUGCAUGUACCAAAGCCAUCUCACUAGUCCAAGUGAUCAAUUUCAGUUCACAAUGGAUCUUACUAAUAGGUCUAAGAUUCAAAGGGAUCACACAAACAAGACUAGCGUCUGCUAAUACUAACUGAUAGAAUCAAAAAGGGAGAGAACGAUCCAUCAUAGGAAGCGGGAUACACAGCAGACUCAUAGAAUGGCAGAUGUCCUAAACAGCACUCUGGCCUCAGAAUCAGCCCUUAAGGCAUUCUUAUCUGGCUGAAGAGCCCAUAAGAGUAUUUUAGGAAUGGAAAGCCAAGACACUCUGGCAAAAAAAAAAAAAAACAAAAACAAACCACAAAAACACAAACACCUAAAUGAAAGAUCUCUGCGAGUGAGAUCCCAGUGCAAAGAACAGGCCAUCAAAGAAGGAGGUACCUUUCUCUGAAGGGAGGAGAGAACUUCCACUUUGACUAUGACCCUGUCUGAAUAACAUCGAAGCUGGCAAACUCAAAAGGCUUCCAUAGCCUUGGCAACUCAUGACUAGAGCCUAGGGAGAUUACUGACGCCAUAAACAAGAACGUCAAAUUGUUAAGUCAACAACAGGAGUCACUGUGUACUUACUUCUCAUGUGGGAUCUGUCCUUAGUGUGUUGUCCAAUGUGAAGUAAUGCUAUAACUAGCACUUAAACAGUAUUUUACACUUUGUGUUUCUGUGUGGGUGCGAACUGAUGAAAUCUUUACUUAAUAUAUACUAAAUCGAUCUUCUGUAUAUAAAAAGAAUUGAAAAUGAAUCUUGAUGUGAAUGGAAUGGGAGAGGGAGUGGAAGAUGGGAGGGGUGCGGGUGGGAGGGAAGUUAUGGGGGGGAAGCCAUUGUAAUUCAUAAACUGUACUUUGGAAAUUUAUAUUCACUAAAUAAAAGUUUAAAAAAUUUCAAAAGUAAUAUAUUAUUUUUUAAGCCAUUGCUGUUCUAAAAAAAAAAAGAAAAGAAAAGAAAUAGAAGAUACCAAAAACAUGGAAAACUCUUCCAUGUUCAUGGAUUGGAAGAAUCAAUAUCAGAAAAUGUCCAUUUUCCCAAAAGCAAUUUACAGAUUCAAUGCGAGAUGAAUCAAAAUCUGAGACAUUCACUCAGAUACAGAAAGAAUGAUGCUGAAUGACUUUCAAGAGCCCUUGUCUUGACUGCUGAGGAACAGUUUUUCUUUUUGUUUUUUUUUUUUUUUCUCUCCCCUCCCCUACCAAAAAAAAAAAAAAAAAAAAGAA